AGACCCGAAACCCGGUGAUCUAGCCAUGGGCAGGUUGAAGGUUGGGUAACACUAACUGGAGGACCGAACCGACUAAUGUUGAAAAAUUAGCGGAUGACCUGUGGCUGGGGGUGAAAGGCCAAUCAAACCGGGAGAUAGCUGGUUCUCCCCGAAAGCUAUUUAGGUAGCGCCUCGUGAAUUCAUCUCCGGGGGUAGAGCACUGUUUCGGCUAGGGGGCCAUCCCGGCUUACCAACCCGAUGCAAACUGCGAAUACCGGAGAAUGUUAUCACGGGAGACACACGGCGGGUGCUAACGUCCGUCGUGAAGAGGGAAACAACCCAGACCGCCAGCUAAGGUCCCAAAGUCAUGGUUAAGUGGGAAACGAUGUGGGAAGGCCCAGACAGCCAGGAUGUUGGCUUAGAAGCAGCCAUCAUUUAAAGAAAGCGUAAUAGCUCACUGGUCGAGUCGGCCUGCGCGGAAGAUGUAACGGGGCUAAACCAUGCACCGAAGCUGCGGCAGCGACACUGUGUGUUGUUGGGUAGGGGAGCGUUCUGUAAGCCUGUGAAGGUGGCCUGUGAGGGUUGCUGGAGGUAUCAGAAGUGCG
rnacentral:rRNA from 1 species